AUUGAACGCUGGCGGCAUGCCUUACACAUGCAAGUCGAACGGCAGCACGGAGCUUGCUCUGGUGGCGAGUGGCGAACGGGUGAGUAAUAUAUCGGAACGUACCCUGGAGUGGGGGAUAACGUAGCGAAAGUUACGCUAAUACCGCAUACGAUCUACGGAUGAAAGUGGGGGAUCGCAAGACCUCAUGCUCGUGGAGCGGCCGAUAUCUGAUUAGCUAGUUGGUAGGGUAAAAGCCUACCAAGGCAUCGAUCAGUAGCUGGUCUGAGAGGACGACCAGCCACACUGGAACUGAGACACGGUCCAGACUCCUACGGGAGGCAGCAGUGGGGAAUUUUGGACAAUGGGCGAAAGCCUGAUCCAGCAAUGCCGCGUGAGUGAAGAAGGCCUUCGGGUUGUAAAGCUCUUUUGUCAGGGAAGAAACGGUGAGGGCUAAUAUCCCUUGCUAAUGACGGUACCUGAAGAAUAAGCACCGGCUAACUACGUGCCAGCAGCCGCGGUAAUACGUAGGGUGCAAGCGUUAAUCGGAAUUACUGGGCGUAAAGCGUGCGCAGGCGGUUUUGUAAGUCUGAUGUGAAAUCCCCGGGCUCAACCUGGGAAUUGCAUUGGAGACUGCAAGGCUAGAAUCUGGCAGAGGGGGGUAGAAUUCCACGUGUAGCAGUGAAAUGCGUAGAUAUGUGGAGGAACACCGAUGGCGAAGGCAGCCCCCUGGGUCAAGAUUGACGCUCAUGCACGAAAGCGUGGGGAGCAAANAGG
rnacentral:rRNA from 1 species